rfam:Pan troglodytes isolate Yerkes chimp pedigree #C0471 (Clint) chromosome 15, whole genome shotgun sequence.
GCCGGGUAUGGUGGCUCAUGCCUGUAAUCCCAGCACUUUGGGAGGCCAAGGCAGGUGCAUCACUCGAGGCCAGGAGUUCAAGGGUGCAGUAAGCCAUGAUCAUGCCACUGCACUCCAGCCUGGGUGACAGAGUGAGAACCUGCCUCAA